ensembl:misc_RNA Metazoa_SRP Metazoan signal recognition particle RNA
GCCAGGUGCACUAGUGCAUGCCUGUAGUUCCAGCUACUUGGGAGGCUGAGGUAGGAAGAUCACUUGAACCCAGAGUUCUAGGCUAGAGUGUGCUAUGCUGAUUGGGUAUCUGCACUAAGUUCAGCAUCAGUAUGGUGACCUCCUGGGAGUGGGGGACCACGAGGUUGCCUAAGGAAGGGUGAACUGGGCCAGAUCAGAAAAAGAGCAGGUUAAAACUCCACUGCUGAUCAAUAGUGGGAUCAUGCCUGUGAAUAGCCACUGCACUCAGGCGUGGGCAAUAUAGUGAGACCCUGCCUCUC